CACAUACUCCCUCCGUUCCGAAUUACUUGUCUUGGAUUUGUCUAAAUAUGGAUGUAUCUAGACUCAUUUUAGUGCUAGAUACCUCCGUAUCUAGACAAAUCUAAGACAAGUAAUUUGGAACGGAGGGAGUACUAG
rnacentral:pre_miRNA from 1 species